rnacentral:lncRNA from 1 species
GCAAGCUCCGCCUCCCGGGGUCACGUCAUUCUCCUGCCUCAGCUUCCGGAGCAGCUGGGACUGCUGGCGCCCGCCACUACGCUCGGCUAAUUUUUUUGUGUUUUUAGUAGAGACGGGCUUUCACCGUGUUGGCCUAGCGGUUCUCCAACUCCUGACCUCAUGAUCCCCCCGCCUCAGCCUCCCAAAGUGCUGGGAUUACAAGCGUGAGCCACCGCGACCCGCCAACACUCUUGACAACAGUGCUGUGCUAAGAACUUGGGGGACUUCAAAAAGUUCACCAGUUCCUGUGUCCAUGGGUGAAAAGAUUUUCUACAUCUUUCCUUGACUAGAAACAGAAGUCCUGAAACAAGAAUAUAACGUCAGGAGGCCAGAGGCUUUGUCCUGCCUAAUGUGUUAUUUCCACACUGAAUAAAAGCACCUGAGUCCUGGUAAGUCUAAUUUGCUAGGUGUGGCAAUAUGACCAGUGAAAAACAACAAGGGCAGCAUUUCCUGCAGUUCGGUGGCACAGUAUGGUUCAAAGAGGUAUAAAAGGAAGUCACAGGCAUUUUAAAAAGGUUGUACAUCUAGCAAUACCUAACAAAAUAGGAAAUCAACUUGGAAAGCCAAUGGCUGUGUUUUGAGUUUAUGGAGAGCCAUAUGUGGCAAGGAACUGAGGGUGGCAUCCAGGCAACAGACUUCAAGAAACUGAGGCUGUCAGUCCAACAACCCACAAGAACUGAAUCUGACCAACAAUCACAGGAACAAACUUAGAAGUAUACUCUUUCCCAGACAAACCUUCAGAUGAGACCACAGCCCCAGCCAUAAGCUUGAAAACAAUCUCAUGAGGGACCUUGAGCCACAGGCAUGUAGUAAAGCUAUGCCAGGAAUCCUGCCUGCCCCACAGAAAAUGUAAAAAAAAUAAAUUUUUAUUGUUUUAAGCCACGAAGUUUUGAAGUAAUUUGAUAUAAAAC